rnacentral:sRNA from 1 species
AUUCGUGCCUAGCCCACGGGCCCCUCGGAGUGCUGGCCAGCCAGACUGCUGUCAUCAAGCUUGCCAGUCUCUUCCUGUUAUUGUCUAUCCUCAUUCUUGAGUAUUCCAGAAUCUUCCCGCUUCUUCUCCACUCCCCUGUUCCUUCUGCUUUUCUUUCCCUUUGAGUCCUAGAGUCUGGGCUUGUGCUCUCCUCCAGGGAGCCUGCCAGAGUGCCCCCUUUGUGUCAGAGGCACAAAGCUGCCUCCUAAGGGAGCUCCUGCCUGCACGGCAGGUGGAACAUGUGGAUUCAAACCCUUGCUCCAGCCUUACCCGUUAGGCGGCUCUCAGGAGGCACAGAUCACCAUGAAAUAACUUUCAGGCCAGAAGAAAUGUGCAUAUUACUGUACAGUUUGACCAUCAUGAUGACGUUGGGCAGGGGGGCUUUGGAAUUCAUUCUGCUGGCAGUAUCUGACCGCUAAUCACCACUUCUUGUUGUGUCUCCCUCGAUCUGAAUUGGCUCUGCUGUGUGUUUCUAUGACUCUGUGUUUCUGUGCCUCCAUGCGGAUGUGUUUCACUGUUUGUGCUUGCUGUGGCUUCU